rnacentral:tRNA from 1 species
GACCCCGUAGCUCAGCCCGGAUAGAGCAACAGCCUUCUAAGCUGUGGGUCACAGGUUCGAAUCCUGUCGGGGUCGCCA